GUGCUCAUCUCAGCAAGCAUAUAUACUAAAACUGGAACAAUACAGAGAAGACUAGCAUGGCCCAUGAGCAAAGAUGGCAUGCAAAUUCAUGAAUAAUAGAAGACAUAA